CUGCUGCCUUCCGUAGGAGUUUGGGCCGUGUCUCAGUCCCAAUGUGGCCGUUCACCCUCUCAGGCCGGCUACUGAUCGUCGCCUUGGUGGGCUGUUACCCCGCCAACAAGCUAAUCAGACGCGGAUCCAUCGUAUACCACCGGAGUUUUUCACACCGUCUCAUGCCGAGACUGUGCGCUUAUGCGGUAUUAGCACCUAUUUCUAAGUGUUAUCCCCCAGUAUACGGCAGGUUAUCCACGCGUUACUCACCCGUCCG
rnacentral:rRNA from 1 species